rnacentral:rRNA from 1 species
UACGAAGGGGGCGAGCGUUGUUCGGAAUUACUGGGCGUAAAGGGCGCGCAGGCGGCCCUUGAAGUCAGGCGUGAAAGCCCCGGGCUCAACCUGGGAGGUGCGCUUGAUACUCGAGGGCUUGAGUGCGGGAGAGGAGAGUGGAAUUCCUGGUGUAGCGGUGAAAUGCGCAGAUAUCAGGAAGAACACCCGUGGCUAAGGCGGCUCUCUAGUACGGUACUGACGCUGAGACGCGAAAGCGUGGGGAGCGAACAGG